AAAGACCCAGAAAAAUGAAAAGCUCUAGUUCACACUUCUCAGACAUUCAUAAUGCGUGGUUUCCGUUUAUCUUCAUCGUCCUUCUCUCUCAAUCCUCUAUUCUGUUCGCGAGUCAUGGUGGGUGGAGCCCUAAAUUCGGACCACCUUGGACAGCCCACACGAGCCGGUGGCCGUGUCACUCGACCUCAAUUUGCUGGACAGAGAUCCCAGAGUUAGCCGCCAUGUUAUGGGCUUCGAGCCGAGCUAUUCCGGUUUCGAUAUCCUGGAUUAUAUGUUUGUUUUUGGACCAUAUAGAGGAAGCUGAGAAAUCAUUUGUUAUGCGAAGCUGAGCUUUGUAGUCUUUGAGAAAAGGGUAUGGAAAGGGACCGGGUCGAGGUCCGGAUGUGAAGCUGGCUUCAAAUACAAGCGGGGGACGACGGCGAACACGAAGAAACAGUAUCAGUCUUAUCUCUUGUAACUGCUACGAGGACUUUCGUGGCUGCAAAAGAAAACCCUUUACCCUUUGUCCUCUAUCCUCUAUAUUAGCAUUGCGUCCUGGGCACAUCUAUUUGUGGCAGACAGACGAGGAGUGAUCACCAAGAAAAUAGAAGAAAUGAAUAAACUCAGUACUUGUCCUUGGGAAAUGGCUUUGAUUUGGGUAACGCUUGGAUUGCUUGCACUUGUUUAUGUCCUGCAACCCUGGACAUGGAGAAGCAAGAAGAGGUUGCCUCCUGGUCCAAGAGGGUUUCCCAUUUUUGGAAGCCUCAACUUGCUAGGGAAGUUACCUCACAAAGAUCUGCAUCAACUGGCCCGAAAGUACGGUGACAUCAUGUACAUGCGGUUAGGCCUUGUGCCAGCCAUUAUCGUCUCUUCCCCUCAAGCAGCCGAGCUGUUCCUUAAAACCCACGACCUUGUGUUUGCGAGCAGGCCGCCUCACGAAGGUGCAAAGCAUAUUUCUUAUGGCCAAAGGAACUUGACUUUUGCUGAGUAUGGCUCUUACUGGCGUGACAUGCGCAAGAUGUGCACUCUUGAGUUACUUAGCACCCACAAAAUCAACUCCUUUAAGUCAAUGAGAAAAGAAGAGGUCGCCCUCAUGGUGGAUUCUAUUCGAGAGUCUGCAGCCAAGGAACAACUUGUUUCGGUUGAUCUGAGCUCCAAGGUGUCGUCUCUUAGCGCAGACAUGACUUGCAGGAUGGUGUUUGGGAAGAAAUACAUGGAUGAGGAAUUUAGUGAGAGGGGUUUUAAAUCCGUGAUUCAUGAAGGCAUGCAAUUAGGAGCUGCCCCUAACUUGGGAGAUUACAUUCCUUGCAUUGCUCCACUCGAUCUCCAAGGAUUGACUAAACGAAUGAAGGCUGUUCACAGGGUCUUUGAUGACUUUUUGGAGAAGAUUGUGGAGGAGCAUCUUCAAUCUAGGGAUCAUGGAGAAAGAAGAACCAAGGACUUUGUUGAUGUCAUGCUGGGCUUCAUGGGGUCUGAAGAAUCUGCGUACCAAAUCGGACGCUCAAACAUCAAAGCCAUCAUAUUGGACAUUCUCGCCGCCUCAAUGGACACAUCGGCAACAACAAUUGAGUGGGCACUCUCCGAACUCAUCAGGCAUCCAGAGGUAAUGAAGAAAGUGCAAAUAGAGUUAGCAAAUGUAGUCGGAAUGGAGAGGAUGGUGGAGGAGUCAGACUUGGAGAAGUUGGAGUACUUGUACAUGGUAGUGAAGGAAACCUUGAGGCUGCAUCCCGUAGCACCAUUAUUGCUUCCCCAUCAAUCAACUGAAGAUUGCACUGUUAAUGGCUUCCACAUACCCAAAAAGUCGCGCAUUAUGAUAAAUGUAUGGUCAAUUGGGAGAGACCCAAAUGUUUGGACUGAAGCAGAGAAGUUCAUACCUGAGAGGUUUGUUGGUAGUAGUAUAGAUCUUCGGGGAAACCACUUUGAGCUUCUUCCUUUUGGCUCUGGACGAAGGCGCUGCCCUGGAAUUCAACUAGGCCUAACGGUUGUCCAGUUAGUGCUGGCGCAACUCGUGCAUUGUUUUAACUGGGAACUUCCAGAAAACAUGUCACCGAAUGAUUUGGAUAUGACGGAAGAAUUUGGAAUAACGGUUCCUAGGGCCAAGCAUCUACUGGCAAUUCCAUCAUAUCGCCUUCACAAAUGAUCACGAUGUUGAGGCAAAAUCUGCAAGUGCAUUUUGAAGUGAGAAGGCUGCCUGGUGGUUUGGGACACACCAUUUGCCUGCAGAGGUUGGAGGAAUUGUCAAGGUUUCGCAUUUAGAAUCACCGAGAUAGACACUUUAGUGAUGCAGCAGAUUAAGAACAGCACCUCAAUUUCUAGGGACCGUCUGCAGAGAACAUCUAAUUGAUGGUGGUGAUCAAGUGAAAGAACAUCGUCUUAACAUCACCAGUAGUUAACUAGCACACUAUAGGUCUUUCCAUCCAAUGCUGUUCUUCAUUCUUACGUACAGCGCCAAGAGACCAAGAGUAUUCAUGUUUUGGUGAUCAAAAGAAUCAUAGAGAAUCUAUGUUCUGGAUCUUAUUCAGCUCCGGUAUUUAUCAGCUCACUUGUUCUUCUAAUCUAACAAAGUAUCUUUGGACUGUGAAAAGAAAGUACAAGGAUGUUGUGCUUUCCAAACCUCACCAAGAUACCUGAAGGGAAAUGAGGCUGUGGAGAACCACCAAUUAGACAUUUUACAGAAGCUCCAAAACUUAAAGAGUGCUUGCCCUUGAAUUUAGUACUUUCGAGUAGGAGACAAUGCUUUUCUCAGAAAGAGGCUUUCCUUGUCUUCCCCUUGAUAAAUUGAUCUAAAAUGAGUUGAGGGUGGAGGAGGGGACCAUACCUACUGCACAUUGAAGUUUUAUCAUUGCGAAAAAUUGAGGGAAGUUCCAGAUGGGCCUGAAAUAUAUUGCUGCCCUCAAGGAACCAAGAACUCUGCAGUAGACUUGUUGAAGGAGGAGAGGAUUUUGAAAGGAUCUAAGAUGUGCCUUCUGUUGUAUUCACAAAUAUUCAAGCCAAAAAACAAAGCUUGCUGUUCUGGUAUUCGAAAGGCUGCAGCGAAGGAACAACAAGUUUUGUUUGAUCUCAGCUCCAAGAUGUUGUCUCUCAGCGCAGACAUGAGUCACAGAAUGGUUUUUGGGAAGAAGUAUAUGGAUGAGGAGUUUAACGAGAGGGGUUUCAAUAGUCUGUGAUUCAGUGCUUGCAAUUGAAUAGCAAAUGUAGUGGGAAUGGAGAGUAUGGUGGAGGAACCAGACUUGGAGAAGUUGGAGCUACCCAAAAAUGUAUGGGAAAAUUGGGAGAGACCCUAAUGCUUGAAUUGGACAUGACGGAGGAGUUUGGAAUCUCGGUUCCAAGGGCCAAGCAUCUAGUAGCUAUUCCAUCAUAUCACCUUCACUAACGAUUAUAAUGCGUAUGUACUGCUUACUUUCCUACUAGUGGAUCAUCUUGAUUUUCUGCUUUUCUAUUAUACAUUAUCACUCUUGUUUUUCCUUUCUUUUGUAGCUUUUAUAUUAUACAUUAUCACUCUUGUUUUUCCUUUCUUUUGUAAAGAAGAAGCUAAUUAAUAUAUUGGUUUAAAUAAGUUUGGGAGGGAACGUGGGAUGUUUAUUUCCAUUGCUGAAUGGUGUUGUGCGUAUGUUCAGAGUUCCAUGAGUUUAAAUAACUGCUCCCUCUAGAAAUUGGUGUAACUGGGUAGAUUUUUUAAACUAGGAUCCAGAGUAAAAGAGUGAAUAUAUUUUGCCUGUAGUUGAGUAAAUUUGGAGUGGCUAACAAAGGUGUGUGCAUGUGUAUUUAUAUAAUAUCUAUAAAUAACCUCGCUCGAGAGCCUCUCUCUCUAAAAACUAGAGAGAGAAACCAGAUCUCAAAUUCCAACCCGCCUCCUCCCCCACUCUCUCACCCAAAUCUUGAUCCUUCCGGAUUGAUCCGGAAGAUUGAUGGUAGAAGAGUUGGGGGAGGCCAUACCAACUCUGACUUGUAUCCAAUUUCUCUCCAUCCCUACUGAUCUUCUCUUUCAUCAAGCUGUUCCAGCUUCUUUCUCACCCUUGUGGUGAUUUUGUUACCCUCUGUUGUGUAGUUCUGGCUAUGUCCAGCAUGGGAGGACUCUGUUCCUCGUUUUCUUUCUUCUUUUCCUCUCACUGUCAAGCAAUUCCAUACGUUUCCAGGUCAAAAUUUAAUCAAUCCCACAACACAGCUCCUAUCUCUACCCAGAACCACCAAGACGCAUGGAUUUUUCACCCCCCCCCCCCCCAUUCUCCAUUGUUACUGUUACUGUUCUUGUUCUGGUUCUAUGUCCUGGAUCUCUGAUCCUUGUCGGUAGCCAUGGUUACUACUUGGUCUCGUUGGUGGAGAAAAGGAUGCUUUUGUGAGGGAUCUCAUUCCUUUGGUUGUUGGUUCUCCUUUGAUCUGUAUUUUGGAAUUGGUUUGGCAUUGAUUUAUCACGACGGAAUUUCUGGGUGUUCUGUGUCCCGCGGCACCUCGGCUACUGUGUGUGGCUCGUGGCGCAAACUGGGAAGCAGCAACUAGGGUUUCGGUAGUGGGUUGGGCUUCUCAUUGGGCCUAUGUUUUAGCUUUUAUUGUUUUAAGGAUUAAUGUUCUAAUACUGGCUCUAUUGGAGCCUAGGAGAAAAUUAAUUUUCCUUUUUAGUUUUUGUCUAUAUGGGUCUGUCCAUCAGACUGGUUAGAUGUUUUCUUUUUCAUGCCCAUUGGGCUAGCUUGGGGCAGCUUAAUUGAUCCCAUUUUCCAAAUA